rnacentral:rRNA from 1 species
GACGAACGCUGGCGGCGUGCUUAACACAUGCAAGUCGAACGGAAAGGCCCUGCUUUUGUGGGGUGCUCGAGUGGCGAACGGGUGAGUAACACGUGAGUAACCUGCCCUUGACUUUGGGAUAACUUCAGGAAACUGGGGCUAAUACCGGAUAGGAGCUCCUGCUGCAUGGUGGGGGUUGGAAAGUUUCGGCGGUUGGGGAUGGACUCGCGGCUUAUCAGCUUGUUGGUGGGGUAGUGGCUUACCAAGGCUUUGACGGGUAGCCGGCCUGGGAGGGUGACCGGCGACAUUGGGACUGAGAUACGGAGCAGACUCCUACGGGCGGCAGCAGUGGGGAAUCUUGCGCAAUGGGCGGAAGCGUGAUGCAGAAACGCCGCGUGCGGGAUGACGGCUUUCGGGUUGUAAACUGCUUUCGCCUGUGACGAAGCGUGAGUGACGGUAAUGGGUAAAGAAGCACCGGCUAACUACGUG